GAUGAACGCUGGCGGCAUGCCUAAUACAUGCAAGUCGAACGAAGUCUUUAGGAAGCUUGCUUCCAAAGAGACUUAGUGGCGAACGGGUGAGUAACACGUAGGUAACCUGCCCAUGUGCCCGGGAUAACUGCUGGAAACGGUAGCUAAAACCGGAUAGGUAUGAGGGAGGCAUCUUCCUCAUAUUAAAGCACCUUCGGGUGUGAACAUGGAUGGACCUGCGGCGCAUUAGCUGGUUGGUGAGGUAACGGCCCACCAAGGCGAUGAUGCGUAGCCGACCUGAGAGGGUGAACGGCCACAUUGGGACUGAGACACGGCCCAAACUCCUACGGGAGGCAGCAGUAGGGAAUUUUCGUCAAUGGGGGGAACCCUGAACGAGCAAUGCCGCGUGUGUGAAGAAGGUCUUCGGAUCGUAAAGCACUGUUGUAAGUGAAGAAUGCCAUAUAGAGGAAAUGCUAUGUGGGUGACGGUAGCUUACCAGAAAGCCACGGCUAACUACGUGCCAGCAGCCGCGGUAAUACGUAGGUGGCAAGCGUUAUCCGGAAUCAUUGGGCGUAAAGGGUGCGUAGGUGGCACGAUAAGUCUGAAGUAAAAGGCAACAGCUCAACUGUUGUAUGCUUUGGAAACUGUCGAGCUAGAGUGCAGAAGAGGGCGAUGGAAUUCCAUGUGUAGCGGUAAAAUGCGUAGAUAUAUGGAGGAACACCAGUGGCGAAGGCGGUCGCCUGGUCUGUAACUGACACUGAUGCACGAAAGCGUGGGGA
rnacentral:rRNA from 1 species